GACGUAGGGCGCGAGCGUUGUCCGGAUUUAUUGGGCGUAAAGAGCUCGUAGGCGGCUCGUUGCGUCGCUGUGAAAACCCACAGCUUAACUGUGGGCCUGCAGCCGAUACGGGCGAGCUAGAGUUCGGUAGGGGAGACUGGAAUUCCUGGUGUAGGCGGUGAAAAUGCGCAGAUAUCAGGAGGAACACCGGUGGCGAAGGCGGCAUCCUGGACCGGUAUUGACGCUGAGGCGCGAAAGCUAGGGGAGCAAACGGG
rnacentral:rRNA from 1 species